rnacentral:rRNA from 1 species
AGUGAACGCUGGCGGUAGGCCUAACACAUGCAAGUCGAACGGCAGCACAGUAAGAGCUUGCUCUUACGGGUGGCGAGUGGCGGACGGGUGAGGAAUACAUCGGAAUCUACUUUUUCGUGGGGGAUAACGUAGGGAAACUUACGCUAAUACCGCAUACGACCUACGGGUGAAAGCAGUGGAUCUUCGGACCUUGCGCGAUUGAAUGAGCCGAUGUCGGAUUAGCUAGUUGGCGGGGUAAAGGCCCACCAAGGCGACGAUCCGUAGCUGGUCUGAGAGGAUGAUCGGCCACACUGGAACUGAGACACGGUCCAGACUCCUACGGGAGGCAGCAGUGGGGAAUAUUGGACAAUGGGCGGAAGCCUGAUCCAGCCAUACCGCGUGGGUGAAGAAGGCCUUCGGGUUGUAAAGCCCUUUUGUUGGGAAAGAAAAGCAGCAGGUUAAUACCCAGCUGUUCUGACGGUACCCAAAGAAUAAGCACCGGCUAACUUCGUG